GCGUCUCGAUCAUUGAGUAAAUAGUUUAAUUGGUCCCUAGAGGGGUUUCGGGGACGAUUAUGUGCGGAGGAUUAUUAGUAUGAGGAAAAUACGACGACGGUAAAAAUGGUAAAUUUUAGCUAGUAAAAGGUAAUUUUUAUUCGGGUAUUAUUUUUUCGGGGUGUUUUUAUUUUUUGGAAGUGGGUUGAUAUAGGUUGGACCGGUGGAGGCCCAACCCAUUUUCUUUUUUCCUCCUCCCUUUCUCUUCUUCCCUCUUUUCUUUUCCUCUCCCCGAGCCUUCCGCUGCCCGGUUUUCCGGCUGUCCUCCCGCCGCCGUCCGACCUCCGUUCGCCGCCGGACCGGUCCCGUUCGGUCGGUCUCCCUCCCAGCAACAUUUCUAGACCGGUGAGAGGAGCCCUAGCUCCGCCGUGAGAGAGCAGUGCCACUCGAAAGCUCCGACUGCCGAAUCGGUUUUCUCGCCGGAACUUCCUCCUCCGGCCACCAAUCCGGGCAAGCUUGGUACGGUUUUGUAGCCCUCCUCCCGUGCAACAACCGCUCCAAACAGCUCCCUCCCUCUUGAGCUAGGUAAGGAGAAAUUUGAGGUGGAAGUUUUAUGGUGUUUAAGUUGUUUUCGUUCGAUUAGCCUAGUUAGGCUUGGAAUUGGGUGAUGUGUUAGUCAUGAAAGUUGUAGAGGAGAUUGAGAGGAAGAUUCUGUUAAAAUUUGGUAGCAUUUGUAGGUUGCCGGAAAACGGCUGCCGGCCGCCGCCGGUUAGGAGAUUUUUAGGGUUUUAAAUGUGGAAUAUUAAGAGGAGUAUAUUGGUGUGAUUUAUGGAAUUUUUGGAUGAGAUUUGGAUAGGUUUGUGAAUUUCCGAAGUUUGGUAUUUUUGGCGGUUAAUUAAUGUAGAAUCCGGCCGUAGGAUUUAAACCGUAUUUUGGGGAGGUUAUAUUUACGACUGUGGAGUAUGAUAUUUAAGUUCGGAUCGUUCCGAUGUAAGAAUAUCGAAGUUAGGCAAUAAUGAGCGUAAUUAUGGCUCUCGGGUAAUUUUGUCCUAUUUUGAUUAAAUAUUGG
rnacentral:lncRNA from 1 species